rnacentral:rRNA from 1 species
UACGGAGGGGGCUAGCGUUGUUCGGAAUUACUGGGCGUAAAGCGCACGUAGGCGGCUUUGUAAGUUAGAGGUGAAAGCCCGGGGCUCAACUCCGGAAUUGCCUUUAAGACUGCAUCGCUAGAAUUGUGGAGAGGUAAGUGGAAUUCCGAGUGUAGAGGUGAAAUUCGUAGAUAUUCGGAAGAACACCAGUGGCGAAGGCGACUCACUGGACACGUAUUGACGCU